UGAACCGGCGAGUUACGUUAUGAUGCGAGGUUAAGUUGAAGAGACGGAGCCGUAGCGAAAGCGAGUCUGAAUAGGGCGAUAGUUAUUAUUAAUAGACCCGAAGCGGUAUGAGCUAGACAUGGGCAGGUUGAAGGCAUAGGAAACUAUGCUGGAGGACCGAACGGGUUGGUGCUGCAAAACCUUCCGAUGACCUGUGUUUAGGAGUGAAAAGCUCAUCGAAUACCGUGAUAGCUGGUUCUCUCCGAAAUGCAUUUAGGUGCAGCCUGUAUUUUAAGGUCUUGAAGAGGUAGAGCUCUGGAAAGGCUAGGGGGAUCGAGAGAUCUUACCAAACCUUACUAAACUUCGAAUGCUUCAAGGAAUAUUGCAGAGUGGGACUACGGGAGCAAGUUUCGUAGUCAAAAGGAUAACAGUCCAGACUUCUGAUUAAGGUCCCUAAAGUAAUGCUAAGUGGAAAAAGAGGUGUCUUUACUUAUACAUCCAGGAGGUUUGCCUAGAAGCAGCAAUCCUUUAAAGAAAGCGUAACAGCUCACUGGACUAGUGAAGAUGCGCUGAAGAUGUAACGGGGCUAAGCAUUAUACCGAAAUCGAAGACCAGUGUAGUAAUACACUGUGUGGUAGGAGAGUGUUCUUACAGGAUGAAGCUACAUCGCGAGGUGUGGUCGACUAGUAAGAAGUAAAAAUGCUGACAUGAGUAACGCUUAUUGAUGAAAAUUCAAUAUAUCGAAACCCUAAGGAUUCCUACGCAACGUUCAUCGUCGUAGGGUUAGUCGGGACCUAAGGCUUAUCCAGAAAUGGAGAGUCGAUGGAUAACUGGUUAAUAUUCCAGUACUUAUAUAUAGAGUGAUGGGGUGACGCAUUGAGAUUUGUGAGAGCUUAUUAAGGAUUUAAGUCGAAAGAACAAGGUUUUUAUAGCGUUAGCUAUAAAGGUAGUUGCAGGAAAAUCCACAGCUAUUGAUACUGAGUUUGAUCGGGAUUCAAUUCCUCGGAAUUGGAAAUUCUCAUCGUUUUGGUGCCGAGAAAAACCUCUAAACUUAAUCUAUAUGUAACCCGUACCCAGAUCAGACACUUGUGGGGUGGUAGAGAAUACUAAGAUAAUCGAGAUAACUAAUGGGUAAGGAACUUGGCAAAUUAGCGGACGUACUUUCGAAAUAAGUCCUGUCCCGAGCAAUCGGGAUCGCAGCGAAAGAGAUGGGGGGAACUGUUUAUCAAAAACACAGCUCGCUGCUAACUCGUAAGAGGAUGUAUAGCGGGUGAUGCCUGUCCAAUGCCAGAAUGUUAUGCUCUCUUGUGCAAGCUCGAGGGUUAAGCACUGGUGAAUGACGGCCGUAACUAUGACGGUCCUAAGGUAGCGAAAUUCCUUGUCAGGUAAGUUCUGACGCGCAUGAAUGGCAUAAUCAUCCCCAUGCUGUCUUACCCUUAGACUCGGUGAAAUUACAUUCCCGGUAAAAAUGCCGGGUAGUCACAGUUAGACGGAAAGACCCUGUGAAGCUUUACUGUAGAUUGAUAUUGGAUUGUAGCAUGUUUUGCUCAGUAUAGGUGGGAGGCUUUGAUGUUUCGACUUCGGUUGGGGCGGAGCCAAUAGUGAGAUACCACCCAAAAUAUGUAGCAAUUCUAAUCCCUAGGUUGGGAGACAGUUUCAGUUGGACAGUUUACCUGGGGCGGGUGCCUCCUAAAAAGUAGCGGAGGCGUGCAAAGGUUUGCUUACUACGGAUGGAAACCGUGGUGAAUGUGUAUUCGCAUAAGCAAGCUUGACUGUGAGACUGACAGGUCGAGCAGAUACGAAAGUAGGCGAAAGUGAUCCGGAUCUUCCGAGUGGAAGGGGAUCCGCUCAACGGAUAAAAGUUACUCCGGGGAUAACAGGCUAAUGGAAUCUAAGCGUUCACAGCGACGAUUCCGUUUGGCACCUCGAUGUCGACUCGUCGCAUCCUGGGGCUGUAGAAGGUCCCAAGGGUUGGGUUGUUCACCCAUUAAAGCGGGACGCGAGUUGGGUUCAGAACGUCGUGAGACAGUUCGGUCCCUAUCUACUGUGACCGUAGGAUAUUUGAGAGAUGCUGACCCUAGUACGAGAGGACCGGGUUGGACGAGCCUCUGAUAGUACCAGUUGUUCCACCUAGGAGCACGGCUGGAUAGUUAAGCUCGGAAAAGGUAACCGCUGAAAGCAUCUAAGUGGGAAACUUGUCUCAAGAUUAGAUAUCCCUCUUCU
rnacentral:rRNA from 1 species